rnacentral:rRNA from 1 species
UACGUAGGGUGCAAGCGUUAAUCGGAAUUACUGGGCGUAAAGCGUGCGCAGGCGGUUUUGUAAGUCAGAUGUGAAAUCCCCGGGCUUAACCUGGGAACUGCGUUUGAAACUACAAGGCUAGAGUGUGGCAGAGGGGGGUGGAAUUCCACGUGUAGCAGUGAAAUGCGUAGAGAUGUGGAGGAACACCGAUGGGCGAAGGCAGCCCCCCUGGGUUAACACUGGACGCUCAUGCACGAAAGCGUGGGGAGCAAACAGGG